AUACGUAGGUGGCAAGCGUUGUCCGGAAUCAUUGGGCGUAAAGCGCGCGUAGGUGGCUUGUCAGGUCUGAUGUGAAAUUUCGGGGCUCAACUCCGAACCUGCAUCGGAAACCGGCUUGCUAGAGUCUGGGAGAGGAGAGUGGAAUUCCUGGUGUAGCGGUGAAAUGCGUAGAUAUCAGGAGGAACACCGGUAGCGAAGGCGGCUCUCUGGAACAGUACUGACGCUGAGGCGCGAAAGCUAGGGGAGCGAACAGGAUUAGAUACCCUGGUAGUCCUAGCCGUAAACGAUGGACACUAGGUGCCGGGGGUGUCGACUCCCCCGGUGCCGAAGCUAACGCAUUAAGUGUCCCGCCUGGGGAGUACGGCCGCAAGGCUAAA
rnacentral:rRNA from 1 species